rnacentral:rRNA from 1 species
UACGGAGGAUCCGAGCGUUAUCCGGAUUUAUUGGGUUUAAAGGGUGCGCAGGCGGGAGAUUAAGUCGGCGGUGAAAUUUUGCAGCUCAACUGUAAAAGUGCCUUCGAAACUGGUUUCCUUGAGUGUAGAUGAAGUAGGCGGAAUUUGUGGUGUAGCGGUGAAAUGCAUAGAUAUCACGAGGAACUCCGAUUGCGCAGGCAGCUUACUAAACUACUACUGACUCUCAGGCACGAAGGCGUGGGGAUCAAACAGGAUUAGAUACCCCGGUAGU